rnacentral:rRNA from 1 species
UACGGAGGGUGCGAGCGUUGUCCGGAUUUACUGGGCGUAAAGGGCGCGUAGGCGGCCACCGCAAGUCGACUGUGAAAUCUCCGGGCUUAACCCGGAAAGGUCAGCCGAUACUGCGGGGCUAGAGUGCAGAAGGGGCAACUGGAAUUCUCGGUGUAGCGGUGGAAUGCGUAGAGAUCGGGAAGAACAUCAGGUGGCGAAGGCGGUCGUGCUGGGCCGUUGCUGACGCUGAGGCGCGACAGCGGUGGG